rnacentral:rRNA from 1 species
GAUGAACGCUGGCGGCGUGCCUAAUACAUGCAAGUCGAGCGAACAGACGAGGAGCUUGCUCCUCUGACGUUAGCAGCGGACGGGUGAGUAACACGUGGAUAACCUACCUAUAAGACUGGGAUAACUUCGGGAAACCGGAGCUAAUACCGGAUAAUAUAUUGAACCGCAUGGUUCAAUAGUGAAAGACGGUUUUGCUGUCACUUAUAGAUGGAUCCGCGCCGCAUUAGCUAGUUGGUAAGGUAACGGCCUACCAAGGCAACGAUGCGUAGCCGACCUGAGAGUGUGAUAGGCCACACUGGAACUGAGACACAGUCCAAACUCCUACGGGAGGCAGCAGUAGGGAAUCUUCCGCAAUGGGCGAAAGCCUGACGGAGCAACGCCGCGUGAGUGAUGAAGGUCUUCGGAUCGUAAAACUCUGUUAUUAGGGAAGAACAAAUGUGUAAGUAACUAUGCACGUCUUGACGGUACCUAAUCAGAAAGCCACGGCUAACUACGUG